CUGUGAGGCAUGCUGGAGGUAUCAGAAGUGCGAAUGCUGACAUAAGUAACGAUAAAGCGGGUGAAAAGCCCGCUCGCCGGAAGACCAAGGGUUCCUGUCCAACGUUAAUCGGGGCAGGGUGAGUCGACCCCUAAGGCGAGGCCGAAAGGCGUAGUCGAUGGGAAACAGGUUAAUAUUCCUGUACUUGGUGUUACUGCGAAGGGGGGACGGAGAAGGCUAUGUUGGCCGGGCGACGGUUGUCCCGGUUUAAGCGUGUAGGCUGGUUUUCCAGGCAAAUCCGGAAAAUCAAGGCUGAGGCGUGAUGACGAGGCACUACGGUGCUGAAGCAACAAAUGCCCUGCUUCCAGGAAAAGCCUCUAAGCAUCAGGUAACAUCAAAUCGUACCCCAAACCGACACAGGUGGUCAGGUAGAGAAUACCAAGGCGCUUGAGAGAACUCGGGUGAAGGAACUAGGCAAAAUGGUGCCGUAACUUCGGGAGAAGGCACGCUGAUAUGUAGGUGAAGUCCCUCGCGGAUGGAGCUGAAAUCAGUCGAAGAUACCAGCUGGCUGCAACUGUUUAUUAAAAACACAGCACUGUGCAAACACGAAAGUGGACGUAUACGGUGUGACGCCUGCCCGGUGCCGGAAGGUUAAUUGAUGGGGUCAGCGCAAGCGAAGCUCUUGAUCGAAGCCCCGGUAAACGGCGGCCGUAACUAUAACGGUCCUAAGGUAGCGAAAUUCCUUGUCGGGUAAGUUCCGACCUGCACGAAUGGCGUAAUGAUGGCCAGGCUGUCUCCACCCGAGACUCAGUGAAAUUGAACUCGCUGUGAAGAUGCAGUGUACCCGCGGCAAGACGGAAAGACCCCGUGAACCUUUACUAUAGCUUGACACUGAACAUUGAGCCUUGAUGUGUAGGAUAGGUGGGAGGCUUUGAAGUGUGGACGCCAGUCUGCAUGGAGCCGACCUUGAAAUACCACCCUUUAAUGUUUGAUGUUCUAACGUGGACCCGUGAUCCGGGUUGCGGACAGUGUCUGGUGGGUAGUUUGACUGGGGCGGUCUCCUCCUAAAGAGUAACGGAGGAGCACGAAGGUUGGCUAAUCCUGGUCGGACAUCAGGAGGUUAGUGCAAUGGCAUAAGCCAGCUUGACUGCGAGCGUGACGGCGCGAGCAGGUGCGAAAGCAGGUCAUAGUGAUCCGGUGGUUCUGAAUGGAAGGGCCAUCGCUCAACGGAUAAAAGGUACUCCGGGGAUAACAGGCUGAUACCGCCCAAGAGUUCAUAUCGACGGCGGUGUUUGGCACCUCGAUGUCGGCUCAUCACAUCCUGGGGCUGAAGUAGGUCCCAAGGGUAUGGCUGUUCGCCAUUUAAAGUGGUACGCGAGCUGGGUUUAGAACGUCGUGAGACAGUUCGGUCCCUAUCUGCCGUGGGCGCUGGAGAACUGAGGGGGGCUGCUCCUAGUACGAGAGGACCGGAGUGGACGCAUCACUGGUGUUCGGGUUGUCAUGCCAAUGGCACUGCCCGGUAGCUAAAUGCGGAAGAGAUAAGUGCUGAAAGCAUCUAAGCACGAAACUUGCCCCGAGAUGAG
rnacentral:rRNA from 1 species